rnacentral:rRNA from 1 species
AUUGAACGCUGGCGGCAUGCUUUACACAUGCAAGUCGAACGGCAGCGCGGGCUUCGGCCUGGCGGCGAGUGGCGAACGGGUGAGUAAUGCAUCGGAACGUGCCCAGUAGUGGGGGAUAGCCCGGCGAAAGCCGGAUUAAUACCGCAUACGACCUGAGGGUGAAAGCGGGGGACCGAAAGGCCUCGCGCUAUUGGAGCGGCCGGUGUCGGAUUAGCUAGAUGGUGGGGUAAAGGCUUACCAAGGCGACGAUCCGUAGCUGGUCUGAGAGGACGACCAGCCACACUGGGACUGAGACACGGCCCAGACUCCUACGGGGGGCAGCAGUGGGGAAUUUUGGACAAUGGGGGCAACCCUGAUCCAGCCAUGCCGCGUGCGGGAAGAAGGCCUUCGGGUUGUAAACCGCUUUUGUUCGGGAAGAAAUCCUCUGGGCUAAUACCCCGGGGGGAUGACGGUACCGGAAGAAUAAGCACCGGCUAACUACGUG